rnacentral:rRNA from 1 species
CCCAGACUCCUACGGGAGGCAGCAGUGAGGAAUAUUGGUCAAUGGACGAGAGUCUGAACCAGCCAAGUAGCGUGAAGGAUGACUGCCCUAUGGGUUGUAAACUUCUUUUAUAUGGGAAUAAAAUGUUCCACGUGUGGGAUUUUGUAUGUACCAUAUGAAUAAGGAUCGGCUAACUCCGUGCCAGCAGCCGCGGUAAUACGGAGGAUCCGAGCGUUAUCCGGAUUUAUUGGGUUUAAAGGGAGCGUAGGUGGAUUGUUAAGUCAGGUGUGAAAGUUUGCGGCUCAACCGUAAAAUUGCAGUUGAAACUGGCAGUCUUGAGUACAGUAGAGGUGGGCGGAAUUCGUGGUGUAGCGGUGAAAUGCAUAGAUAUCACGCAGAACUCCGAUUGCGAAGGCAGCAUACCGGCGCUCAACUGACGCUCAGGCACGAAAGUGUGGGUAUCAAACAGGAUUAGAUACCCCGGUA